rnacentral:lncRNA from 12 species
GCCCAGCGGAGACAAUGGACUUGUUGGAGAGCAGUGGGAGCACGUGCUGGGGUCUCCUCAUUCUGAAAGAUUGUGUGUGCAGCCUGGCCCAUUGCCCGUGGCAGUCUACCUGCCACGAUGGGAAAGACGGUCUAGAUGGAGAAGAAAAGGAAGCACUGUUGUACGGAGCGCUCCCCUGGGUGCGUGCUCUCAGAGAUGCUCCCAGAGAUUCGUGCCAGGUGGAGAACACCAAAUACUCCAGCAAAUUAGCAUGCAAGGUGAGUGGUGAGAAUGGAGGAGGGGCAGGGGCGGUGGUGGGAAGCAUGAACCAUGUGAAGCAUCACCAAGAAAGCAGAACCAGACUUCUGGAUCACUGAGAAUGCGUCAGAUGCAAGACAGUAAGUCAGAACAGGAGGAGGGACGCCUACCAAGGGAAUCACAGGGAGACACCCAUCUUAGGGUUAAGGUCAUGUUUGGGCCCCUCCACCAAUGACAGCGGCUGGCUGUGACGUAUCUGUGUCCCCAUCACACUGCAUCUUGGAGGUCGGUGCACGUGGAUCAGUCUUCUGGACUCUGCUCCUUCCCUGGGGUCUGGAUGACCAUGGGUCACUUGAUUAAAUGCUGAAGUCUUUGUUUGUCUAGAAAAAAGGGGGGGGGCGGAUGAUGAGACCGACCACUAGGUUUUCUUUGUGAUUAAUGUGUCACGUGUGAAACGCAGUCUGGCUUAGGUCAGUGUUUGGAACGUCGUAGAUGUUAACUGCACUACAUUAGCUGCAUAAUCAGAAUCACCAUCAUUAAUUUGUCUUUCCAUCUUCAGUGAGUGUUGGAUGCACUUGUUAAAAAUGUUUACAAUCAGAAGUAGUGGGGAAGAAUUUACACACUCAUUUCAAGCAUAAACUUCAGUGAGUUUUGGUUAAGUCUACACGUACACAUGGUCACCACUAUAGUGAACAUAGAGGGGUUCUCAUAUCCUAAAAUGUUACGCUGUCCCUGCCUGACCACAGCCCCUCAACACCAGUGAGGCAGCUACCCAUCUGCCUCCUGUCACUGUGGUGUAUUAUACAUUUGUUAUUUCCUUUUUUUUCUUUUUGCUUAUUUCUGGUUUAAUUUACUCUUUUUAAAUCUCUCAUAUGUGCAUUUAGAUAAUUGACUUCAGUGCUUUCUUCGAAGACUACCAUUUAAAGCUAAUAUUUUUCCCUUAGAGCACUGCUUUAGUUGUCUUUCAAAAUUUGUUGUUUUAAUUUUCAUCUAGUUUAAAAUAACAUAAUUCCCCUUUUCAUUUAUUCUUCGAUCUAUGAUUUAGUAAUGCACUGUUUAUUUCUCAAACACAUGAGAAUUUUUUUAAUAUUUUAUUUUAGUUCCAGUUAAUAGUGUAAUAUUAGUUGCAGGUAUAUAACAGAGUGACUCAGAACUUCCACACACCACCUGGUGCUCAUCAGGACAAGUGCACUCCUUAACCUGCAUCACCUAUUUCUCCUGCCAUCCCCACCCCCCCUCUGAUGACCGUCAGUUUGUCCUCAUAGUUAACUAUGAGGUCCACUUCUUGGUUUGUCAUUCUUUAUUUUUUCCCCCUUUUCUCAUUGCUUUGUUUCUUAAAUUCUACAUAUGAGUGAAAUCAUAAGGUAUUUGUCUUUCUCUGACUGACUUAUUUCACUUAGCAUAAUACCCUCCAGCUCCAACUGUGUUAUUGCAAAUGGCAAAAUUUCAUUCUUUUUGAUGGCUGAGUGAUGUUCCAUUGUGUGUGUGUGUGUGUGUGUGUGUGUGUGACACAUAGCACAUCUUCUUUAUCCUUCAUCAGUUGAUGGACAUUUGAGCUAUUUCCAUAAUUUGGCUAUUGUUGAUGCUGCUGCUGUAAACAUCAGGAUAUAGGUAUCUCCUGAGGCAAGGGAAACAAAAGCAAAAAUAAACUAUUGGGACUUCAUCA